UGUGUUUGAUUUGAUGGGACUAAUUGCAGAUGGUGGGAUAUGGAUGGGCUGGGAUGUUGAGAAAAUACUUGGUUGAUCCAGUUGACAUGUGGUGGCCUUCCAAUGUCACGCAAGUUUCCUUGUUUAGGUGAACUCGCUCGUGUUGGUGGAGGGUAAUCUUCUUCUCAUUUUAACAAUAUAGAUAGAAUAUUGAGAUCUUGAAGAUUACUUAUGUGUUUUCUGUAAAACCUUUUACCAAAAUAUUGAAUCCAAACCAAUGUCUUGCUUUUGAGAAAAUCAUUCAUCAUAUUUAUAUAUCUAUCAAAUUUGAUUUAGAUUCUGCAUUCUGUUAUAUUACUAUGCAUCAAUAUUUGAUAUAACUCACAUGUUGCCGGAUUUUUUUAAUUCUCCAGCUCAUUAGUGUAAUUGAGUUUAUCAUCUUGGCAGAUCAAGUAGAUGGGAGUCGAUGAGCUAUGAGGACUACUACAAAAGAGAAGGCUGAAGCAGAGAACGUCGUUUCAAAUGUCUAGCAAGUUGCGCGCAUUUGUAAUAUUUUUUAAUUAAUCAUAUAGCUAACUAGAAUAUUUGUGUUGUUUUCAUUAUAUUUGGAUGAUAAUGUAUGAAUAUUUCGGAUGUUAUAUAAUAUAUGUUAUCGAUGGCAA